rnacentral:rRNA from 1 species
UACGGAGGGAGCUAGCGUUGUUCGGAAUUACUGGGCGUAAAGCGCACGUAGGCGGCUUUGUAAGUUAGAGGUGAAAGCCCGGAGCUCAACUCCGGAAUUGCCUUUAAGACUGCAUCGCUUGAAUCCAGGAGAGGUGAGUGGAAUUCCGAGUGUAGAGGUGAAAUUCGUAGAUAUUCGGAAGAACACCAGUGGCGAAGGCGGCUCACUGGACUGGUAUUGACGCUGAGGUGCGAAAGUGUGGGGAGCAAACGGG